rnacentral:ncRNA from 1 species
UUAUUUAAGAGUUUGAUCCUAGCUCAGGAUGAACGCUGGCGGCGUGGAUAAGGCAUGCAAGUCGAACGAUCAGAUAUCGGACCUCGGAGUUCAGAUUUCAGAUGAUGAUAUAAUAUAAUCAUGGAUGUCAAAGAACUUAGGAUAUACAAAAAUGCUCUAGAUUUACUUCCAAGAGUCUAUGAUCUUGCGAAGAAACUUCCCCGAAGUGAAUUUGAUUUAAGGACUCAGUUAUGCAGGUCGGCUAAAUCUAUAUCAGCUCAAAUAGCCGAAGGUUUUGCCAAGAAGAGUUCCCAAAUUGAAUUUAAAAGAUUUUUGUUUAUUGCUCUAGGUUCUUCUGAUGAGACUAUUACCCACUUGAGACAGAUAGAGAUUCUCGUCCCUGUUCUGUCGGGGACAGCGGGUAAACUCAUAAGUGAAUAUAUAUCAGAAUCAAAGCAGAUAAAUUCUUUGAUUCAAAAAAUCCGAAAUCCGAUUUCCGAGGUCUGAUGUCUGGUAGUGGCAGACGAGGUAGUAACAGGUAGGUAACAUACCUUUCACACAAGUAUAGCUCCGCGAAAGCGGAGGUAAUCCUUGAUGGUCUGGUUGUUCCUCAGUGAGUCUGGAAAGCCACGGAUGAACACGGAUGAGAAAUAUCGCAGAUGAACACGGAUAAAAUAUCCGCGAUCAUCCGCGGUGUAUCCGUGUAUAUCCGCGACUUCGAACUCAGCGAGGAGUGACCAGUAAAGGCUUCGGCCGGUGAAAGAAUGGCCUGCUUAGUAUCAGCUAGUUGGUAGGGUAAUGGCCUACCAAGGCUAUGACGCUUAGGGGGGGUGAGAGCCCGAUCCCCACCGAUGGAACUGAGAACGGUCCAUACACCUACGGGUGGCUGCAGUCGAGAAUCUUCCGCAAUGGGGGAAACCCUGACGGAGCGACGCCGCGUGGAGGAUGAAGCGCUUCGGCGCGUAAACUCCUUUUGCCAGGGAGAAAGUCAGUGCGAAGCACUGACCGCAGAUAAGCACGGAUGAUUAAAUCGCGGAUGAACACGGAUAACCACCGAAAAUUCGGAGUUAUCCGCGUAAAUCUGCGGGCUAUCCGCGCGUAUCCGCGGCGAAUGCUUCGCAUUGAUUGAUAUUACUUGGCGAAUAAGAGGUUGCUAAACUCGUGAACUGUUCGGAUUAAGCUCUGAACGCUCCAAAAUUAGCAUUAAAAAUUCGUAAAUAUCGAGCGCGACUUUUCGCCGUAAGGCGGAAAUGACACUUAGCUAUAUGCUGGAAAGCUGUUGAGAGCUGCGAUCCAAGAUUUUUGGAAAGCUUAACAGUCAAUCAGCAGGGAAGACUCGCCGUUUAUGCGGCGCGCAGACACUCGCGGACAAAACGCAGACACUCGCAGAAAUUUUCUGCGUAAUUCUGUGUAAAUUCCGCGAAUUUCUGCAGUAUCGAGCGAAAGCACGAUACAGAACCCUCAGAGACUACACGCUAAGCUCCUUUGUUUUGUUCUGCGUAAUUCUGCGCGUGCCCCGUAGUGAGCCUUGCUCUACUACUGGGGCCAAGUCGGCGUGGUUCUGCGCGAGCGAAGCGAGAGGAUGAAGAUAUAGUCCGAUCCUCCUAGCGAUAGGAGAAUACCGGAUAUCAGAUGUCAGACUUCAGAUGUCGGACACUGAAGCCCGGUACAGUCUGAUGUCCGAUUUCCGAAAUCCGAUAUCUGAUCAGGCCAGCAGCAGCGGUAAUACGAGUGCCUCAAGCGUUAUCCGGAAUCAUUGGGCGUAAAGGGUGUGUAGGCGGCUUUGUUAGUCUCUUGUUAAAUUCUUCGGCUCAACCGGGGGUCUGCAGGAGAAACGGCAAAGCUAGAGGAUGUGAGAGGUCUGCGGAACUCUAGGUGUAGGGGUGAAAUCCGUUGAUAUCUAGGGGAACACCAAAAGCGAAGGCAGCAGACUGGCGCAUUCCUGACGCUGAAACACGAAAGCGUGGGGAGUGAAUGGGAUCAAUCGUUGCAAAGCAACGCGCGGACUACGCGGAAUUAACGCGGAAGGACGCAGAAGCUAUGUAACAUGCACCGCUAGGGGUAGCGGUCAGGUCCCUU